AUAGAUGUUUGAUUUGCAAACUGGAUUUAAAUCAUAUUUUCUUUAAACAUAUUUAUUUGCUCUUUAUAUACUUACAAAUAAUUUAUUAGAAAAAAAUUAUAUACUUAUUUACUAAACCGUUUUAUUUCAAUCAAUUAUUUGAUUUUUUAUAUUUUUCAAGGAAUUUUUAUAGUAUAUUUUAUUGUACUAUGUUUUUUUUUUUGUAUGGGGAAAACUAUGUUCAAUUUACAAACUAUAUUUUAGUUUAUCAAAAUAUAUUUUUAUUGAUGUGUUCUGUCUCUGAUUCUUUCUUUUUCAGAUGUGCACUUGUGUCUUAGGCUUAUGCUUUGCAAAAGGUUCACCAUCGCCCUUAAGUUGCUGUGGGUUUUACGGUUUUACUUUCAACCUGGCAUAUAAAUGCACUUAGUAUCUAAAGUUAUUUGUCAAUAACUGGUGAUCAGACUCUUAAACGAACACGUUUUUAAGGGCUGAGAAGCCCUUAUUAUCUUUGUUGUAAUAGCUCUAAACUUGACUGUUUCAAUAUUGUCAUUAUAUAUCAUUGCCUGUUUUUAGGUGAAAGUUAGAAGUCUGCAGACUGCAACGUAAAUCAAUUUUCAACACAUGGUUUCCUGAAUAUAUUUAGUUUUCGAUUGAAAUG